AUUGAACGCUGGCGGCGUGCUUAACACAUGCAAGUCGAUCGGUAACGCGGGGGCAACCCUGGCGACGAGAGGCGGACGGGUGAGGAACGCUUGGGAAUCUGCCUAUCAGCGGGGGACAACACGGGGAAACUCGUGCUAAUACCGCAUACGCUCUACGGAGGAAAGCCGGGGACCGCAAGGCCUGGCACUGAACGAUGAGCCCAAGCCGGAUUAGCUAGUUGGCGGGGUAACGGCCCACCAAGGCGACGAUCCGUAGCUGGUCUGAGAGGACGAUCAGCCACACUGGGACUGAGACACGGCCCAGACUCCUACGGGAGGCAGCAGUGGGGAAUAUUGGACAAUGGGGGAAACCCUGAUCCAGCGACGCCGCGUGGGUGAAGAAGGCCUGCGGGUUGUAAAGCCCUUUCGGUAGGGACGAAAGCUCUCGACCUAACACGUCGGGAGGUUGACUUAACCUACAAAAGAAGCACCGGCUAACUCUGUGCCAGCAGCCGCCGUAACAC
rnacentral:rRNA from 1 species